UUUACAUUUGGGGUAAAAUUAAAUAUAAAGUACAGGUCCGUACAAAAAGUUAAGUUUGGCAGAUCUCCUCCUCACCCAGCGCACGAAAUUUAAUCAAAAUUCAUUCCGUCGUUUCGGACAUAAGACGCAGACAGACGACGUUGCACCGUUUUUGCACUGAACUUGCGAUGCAAAUUCACCCCCGCAACAUUCUGGCGGUGAAUGCGCGCCAUUCUUGUUCACGUGAUACGAGGCAUUGAUUUCCGCAAGUCAUCGAGUGAAGUCAUGGGGGCCCCGACCUUUAUCCCGACAAUCAGACUCGAGUGUCUGACCUGCAGAUAUCAUUAGAUCCUGCAAAACUUCCCACACACAACCUGAGACAUCUGACGGCGUUAAAAGAAAACACAGACUUGUUCCAGGAUAAGGAACAAUGUUCGACUCCUGUGAACAUCGUAACAGCGGUUUCCUAACAAGAAGACGACCAUCUGCACGAGCUAAGUGACUAUCAGCUUUUCAAUAAGGAUUAUUAGCAAUGAAAUUACUUUCAUCUAUAUUUCCAGGUGAAUUAUAAGACAUACUAGCACCUUCAGAACAGCCAAGAUCAUGUGAUUCAUUAUCAUCUUCCCAUCUAAUUCUGUCCUACUUAACCUCUGUAGCUGAAAUAGCAUCGUUAGAUGACAAUAAAUGCGUCUAAUUAAAGAA